UAGGGAAUCUUCCGCAAUGGGCGAAAGCCUGACGGAGCAACGCCGCGUGAGUGAUGAAGGUCUUCGGAUCGUAAAACUCUGUUAUUAGGGAAGAACAUAUGUGUAAGUAACUGUGCACAUCUUGACGGUACCUAAUCAGAAAGCCAUGGCUAACUACGUGCCAGCAGCCGCGGUAAUACGUAGGUGGCAAGCGUUAUCCGGAAUUAUUGGGCGUAAAGCGCGCGUAGGCGGUUUUUUAAGUCUGAUGUGAAAGCCCACGGCCCCACGGCUCAGCCGUGGAGGGUCAUUGGAAACUGGAAAACUUGAGUGCAGAAGAGGAAAGUGGAAUUCCAUGUGUAGCGGUGAAAUGCGCAGAGAUAUGGAGGAACACCAGUGGCGAAGGCGACUUUCUGGUCUGUAACUGACGCUGAUGUGCGAAAGCGUGGGGAUCAAACAGGAUUAGAUACCCUGGUAGUCCACGCCGUACGAUGAGUGCUAAGUGUUAGGGGGUUUCCGCCCCUUAGUGCUGCAGCUAACGCAUUAACACUCCGCCUGGGGAGUACGACCGCAAGGUUG
rnacentral:rRNA from 1 species